rnacentral:tRNA from 1 species
GGGCUUGUAGCUCAAUUGGUUAGAGCACCCGGCUCAUAACCGGGCGGUCCUGGGUUCAAAUCCCAGCGAGCCCA